ACAAUGUCAAAAUGUCUCACGUGCC
rnacentral:piRNA from 1 species